UACGGAGGAUGCAAGCGUUAUCCGGAUUUAUUGGGCGUAAAGGGUGCGUAGGCGGUAUUGCAAGUCGGAUGUGAAAUCUUGGAGCUCAACUCCAAAAAUGCAUUCGAUACUGCGGUGCUUGAGGACUGGAGAGGAGACUGGAAUUCACGGUGUAGCAGUGAAAUGCGUAGAUAUCGUGAGGAAGGCCGGUGGCGAAGGCGGGUCUCUGGACAGUUCCUGACGCUGAGGCACGAAGGCCAGGGGAGCAAACGGG
rnacentral:rRNA from 1 species